AGAUGAAUAUCUUAAAUUUGACUCUAGUUUAUUAAGAUUAUUAUUGGGUAGAUUUAAUAUGUAAAUUUAUGUGUGUUAUAAGGGAAUCUUUAAAUAAGAUACUAAUGUUAUUUUAUACGCAGUUUAUAUUUUUAUUUAAUUUAGUAAUUUAAGAUAUAGUUAAUUCAUAAUAUUUAACUAGCAAAGGUUGUGCCAGCAGCUGCGGUUACACAAUCUAGUUAAAAUAAUCUUUAUUGGAAUUUUAUUUAUUAGAUAAUUUAAUUGACUUUGAUUUUAUAAUUUUUAAGUGAAAUUUAAAUUUUAAUUAUUAAGUUUGGUUUAAUUCAGGAAUAUAAUACACUCCAACAGAUAGACUAGGAUUAGAUACCCUAUUAUUAAGAGUAUAAAUUUUAAUUCCUAGUAUUAUAAGCUAUGAUCUUUAAAUUGAAAGAGUUUGACGGUAAUAUUUAAUCAUAUUAGAGGAACCUGUUCUGUAAUUGAUAAUCCACGAUAAAUUUUACCCUUAAUAUUAUUGUUUGUAUACCUCUGUUUGAUGAAUGUUUUAUUAGAAUAUUUUCUUUAAUUUUUAUUGGAAAUUAUAUCAGGUCAAGGUGCAGCUUUUAAGGGUCAGAAAUGGGUUACAUUUAAUUUUUAUUAUUGGAUUAUGACUUGUAUUAGUUAUAUAAAAUUGGAUUUAAUUGUAAUGGAUAAUAUAUUUUAUUCAUGAUACAUGUCCUUUAUUAAGUACACAUCGCCCGUCGCUCUCAUUAUAAGAUGAGAUAAGUCGUAACAAAGUAGUCCUACCGGAAGGUGGGGCUGGAUAUAUA
rnacentral:ncRNA from 1 species